AUUACAUUUUGAAAUUUAAUUGGAAUCAUUGCAAUUAUAAUUUACUCGUAUCCACGUAUCUCUUAGUAUUUCAAAUCCUAGAUAACUAUAUUAAAAUCUAAAUUUUGUUGGCACAAGCAACUUUCCAUUCGAAAUUUUUAUAUUCCGUAUCGAGAACUGUGAAAAAUGUAAAUAUGGCCACCUAAACAUAGACAUCCGUUCGAACAGUGCUCUUGCAAAAGUAUACAAUUUCACAAAUUAAACGAGAUAUUCCAUCUGAUUUAGUACACCCGGUAUAUUAUUCUAAAGUUGCACAAUGCCUCUAACAUUAGGAAAAAUAUAUAGAAAGAGAAAUAAUUACCUUUAUCCACAUUCAAAUUUCUGCAUUGCAUAAUUUUGAAAAAAAAUGGAAAAGUCGAACAAUUCCCAUUUCCUCUUGAGCUCAGUUCAUGAAUAUGUAUUAUGUGCCUCUAAUAUUUACAACAUAGUUAUAUAUUUAUUCGAAACUCUGUCAUUACACACAGUUACCAUUACCUGGAAAAUAUUUUACAUUUAUCCCACUACAAUUAUACAGUACUGUAACUAUUUGCGAUAAAUCUCGUUGUCGCGAUAAAUCCGGCUAGAAAAUUGCUCGUAUUCGACUCGAGUGUAAAAUUGCUGUCAAGCCUUUCGAACGAGUACAGCUACUUUUAACAUAAAAUUUACUUCUAAUCGGCCACAACUGGAUUCGUUCGAACGAUGACUAUCGCAGGAUAAAGAUACCUUAAAUGGAUCAUUAACGUCGAUAUCGGGAAAUCAAUGAAGGAUUAGACGAUAGAUCGUUCAAAUUCCCCUCGCUCGUUGCGUCACACACAGUCAUCAAUACGUCGAAAAUAUAAUUAUUCUCGCGGUUCUCGCUUGCCAUAUGUUGCUUUUAACAACGUACAAGCAUAAUCUCUCGAGGAAGUGGUUUUUAGAGUCGAAAGGUGCUUCUGCUUGAUCUUUCACCUUCUAUCUAUCCGUUGAAAUUCUGUUAGAGAGAAUAGAAGAAUGUAAAUAUUAUAUCCGCUUAAAUGCAAGGGAUUAGGAGAGGAGCAAGUUUAAUUUUGUGAACAUUAUGAAAUUGAGAAGAACAAUUGGUAAAUAUUUUGUAUAUUUAGAAAGUAUUUAACCAAGGAUAUUUAAGGAUAGGAUAGAUUUCACGGUUCGUGGCUUCUUGACAUCACGCUCUUCUCCCUUUAUUUUGAACUCAUUUGGCUACA